rnacentral:lncRNA from 12 species
CCGCUGAGCCACCCAGGCAUCCCCCAUUUUCCUAUUUUUUAAAUUAAGCCACCUAUAUUCCAGAGAGUUAUGCUCUGGCUAGAGCAGGGUUUAAGGUCCAGGAGCCUCCUUAUCUAAUCUUUAUAUUCUUGCAGUAGUUCUUGAAGGGACUCCAUGGAACCCUUAAUGUCCAGUGAAGUGCGCUGGUUUUGAAGAAGAGUACUAAUGAUUCAGGAGAGCAGUUUGGAGAUGAUAUUAGGAAAUUUCCUUUUAAUGGCAACUUUGAAGAAUUUAGGGCAACAUAAUUUUUGAAUAUCCAGAAGAAAUAUACAAUAUUGCAUUGGGAGAAGAUAAGCUGGAAAACUUCUUCUUGAAUUAUUUUCUUGGUCAGACCAGGUUGGCUUAUUCUGCUCUGUCAGUAAAACCUCUCUUUUCACCAGUUCUCCAUACUCCUUUCUAGUGGGAAGGAACCACUUGUAAAGAAGAAAAUUUCCCUCUCUGGGCAUCAGCUUCUUCAUCUACUAAAUGGGUGUGAAUGUUACAGAUAUGGAUUUUAUAGACUGCAACUCAGGCCUAUAUAGACUAUAAUUUCAUUUUCCUAUUUUAAAAAGUUUACUUUCCUUUUCAAGACCUAUUACCACAUGGUUGAGAAAAUUUAAUCCUGCCUCUAAUCC